rnacentral:rRNA from 1 species
GAUGAACGCUGGCGGCGUGCCUAAUACAUGCAAGUCGAGCGAACGGACGAGAAGCUUGCCUCUCUGAUGUUAGCGGCGGACGGGUGAGUAACACGUGGAUAACCUACCUAUAAGACUGGGAUAACUUCGGGAAACCGGAGCUAAUACCGGAUAAUAUUUUGAACCGCAUGGUUCAAAAGUGAAAGACGGUCUUGCUGUCACUUAUAGAUGGAUCCGCGCUGCAUUAGCUAGUUGGUAAGGUAACGGCUUACCAAGGCAACGAUGCAUAGCCGACCUGAGAGGGUGAUCGGCCACACUGGAACUGAGACACGGUCCAGACUCCUACGGGAGGCAGCAGUAGGGAAUCUUCCGCAAUGGGCGAAAGCCUGACGGAGCAACGCCGCGUGAGUGAUGAAGGUCUUCGGAUCGUAAAACUCUGUUAUUAGGGAAGAACAUAUGUGUAAGUAACUGUGCACAUCUUGACGGUACCUAAUCAGAAAGCCACGGCUAACUACGU